rnacentral:misc_RNA from 1 species
CUACUUCUUUUCUCCAUUGUGUAACAACCAUUAUAAGAUAGCAUAUCCAUCUCCAAAUGCCAAAUAAUACAUAAAGAAGCUUAACUUCCAUAGAUUUGUCAAUAUUAUUCUGACAUUUAAUACUUCAACUUGCAACUAUAAGGGUGAUAUGCUUGCCUUGGCCCCAAUGAUGUCACACCAAUAAUGUGAAACUUUUGAAACUAACUCAUGGUAGGAUGCCACGUGGCAAUGUGCAAAAAAUUUCUUGUUUAGUAGACCAGUAGUUGAACUUGAAUUCAAGUUGUCAUGUGUCACAUUGCAAUAGCAUUUGCUCCAUGUUGGGUGAUGUUUUCAUACAUCUAAUACUUGCUUUAUAAGAUUUUUUGUUUUUCAACAUGAAAG